GGGGCUGGAGCUCAGUGGAAGAGCACUUGCCUGGCAUGCACGAGGCUCUGGGUUCAAACCUCAGUACCA
rnacentral:tRNA from 1 species